GUGGGGAAUAUUGCGCAAUGGGGGAAACCCUGACGCAGCGACGCCGUGUGAGGGAAGAAGGCUUUCGGGUCGUAAACCUCUGUCAGGAAGGAAGAACCUCUCAAGGCUGAACAAGCCUUGGGACUGACGGUACUUCCAGAGGAAGCACCGGCUAACUCCGUGCCAGCAGCCGCGGUAAUACGGAGGGUGCAAGCGUUAAUCGGAAUCACUGGGCGUAAAGCGCGCGUAGGCCGUCUUUUAAGUCGGACGUGAAAGCCCUCGGCUCAACCGGGGAACUGCGUUCGAUACUGGGAGACUUGAGUCCUGGAGAGGGUGGCGGAAUUCCGGGUGUAGGAGUGAAAUCCGUAGAUAUCCGGAGGAACACCGGUGGCGAAAGCGGCCACCUGGACAGGUACUGACGCUGAGGCGCGAAAGCGUGGGGAGCAAACAGGAUUAGAAACCCGAGUAGUCC
rnacentral:rRNA from 1 species